rnacentral:misc_RNA from 1 species
GAUGAAGAACGUAGCUAAAUGCGAUAAGUAAUGUGAAUUGCAGAAUUCAGUGAAUCAUCGAAUCUUUGAACGCACAUUGCGCCCGCCAGUAUUCUGGCGGGCAUGCCUGUCCGAGCGUCAUUUCAACCCUCGAACCCCUCCGGGGGGUCGGCGUUGGGGAUCAGCCCUCCCUUAGCGGGUGGCCGUCUCCGAAAUACAGUGGCGGUCUCGCCGCAGCCUCUCCUGCGCAGUAGUUUGCACACUCGCAUCGGGAGCGCGGCGCGUCCACAGCCGUUAAACACCCAACUUCUGAAAUGUUGACCUCGGAUCAGGUAGGAAUACCCGCUGAACUUAAGCAUAUCAAUAAGCGGAGGA